rnacentral:lncRNA from 1 species
UGGGUGCUCAGUGUUUGGGAGCCAUAUGUGGAUGUGGGCUGGUCAAGGCCUUCCAAAACUCAUACUACAACCAGUAUGGAGGAGGAGCCAACAGCCUGGCUGAAGGAUACAGCACUGGAACUGGUUUGGCGGCUGAAAUCAUCGGCACCUUUGUCCUUGUCUACACUGUUUUCUCUGCAACUGAUCCCAAGAGGAAUGCAAGAGACUCCCAUAUCCCUGUAUGUCUCUUAACUUUAACCAAAUCACAAACGUAAAUUGUAUUGUAUCCGUUAUGAAUUGUUGUGUAUUGUUGUUUAAGGUCUUGGCACCACUUCCCAUUGGGUUUGCUGUGUUCAUGGUUCACUUAGCCACUAUUCCCAUCACCGGAACCGGUAUCAACCCAGCUCGUAGUUUGGGGGCUGCUGUUAUCUUCAACCAGGACAAGAUAUGGGAUGACCAU